AAAGAGCACCAAUUAUGCUAAUAAAUUAGCACGUUAGCACGUUAUUGUAAUAUCCCAUAGUACAUACAUGUUAUUAAAACUUGAACUAAUGCACUGUGAGUCUUAUAAAUUGCUUACAUACCUCACCGAUUUCUGCAUGUCUGGAAAACGCUCGGAUUUAGUUCCUGUCUCCGCCUCCCAAAAUGUCUAGUGUAUUCGGAUUGGUCAGAUGACUACUCAACUGUUAUUGGUCAACUGGGUUCGGCGUGUGUUUGAAAGGUUACGCCCCUGACUAGGCGUGGGUUUUCCGGUUCUGACUGUGAGUCACAGGCAACGUAAACAAGCGCUAUAUUUCUCUAUAAACGAUGGUGUCUGUACUGCCUUACCACUUCAAGCUCGAUCCAGAGAGUUCAGACGGCCAUUACGAUAUAACCGUCUCCGUCAAUGAACGCGAUUAGAUUUAACUUUUUUAGGUGUCCUUAGCUCUGCCGGAAUGCUAAACGAAGACGAAAAUGGGUUGCAUAGACAUCCAAAAGGUUUUAAGGAGAAUGUAACAGGUUCCAGGGCCUCUUAACUGCGUGAUUCAUCAUCCAGAUAUGCUUGGAGUUUCCUGAUCAGAUCGGUCACAAUUUUGGCUUUCGACGACCCCUGCACUGAAGAUGGCAUGCAAUCACGUCCUC